AUUGAACGCUGGCGGCAUGCCUUACACAUGCAAGUCGAACGGCAGCGGGGGAGAAGCUUGCUUUUCCUGCCGGCGAGUGGCGAACGGGUGAGUAAUACAUCGGAACGUGCCCUGUAGUGGGGGAUAACUAGUCGAGAGAUUAGCUAAUACCGCAUACGACCUGAGGGUGAAAGUGGGGGACCGCAAGGCCUCAUGCUAUAGGAGCGGCCGAUGUCUGAUUAGCUAGUUGGUGGGGUAAAGGCCUACCAAGGCGACGAUCAGUAGCUGGUCUGAGAGGACGAUCAGCCACACUGGGACGGAGACAAGGCCCAGACUCCUACGGGAGGCAGCAGUGGGGAAUUUUGGACAAUGGGCGAAAGCCUGAUCCAGCAAUGCCGCGUGUGUGAAGAAGGCCUUCGGGUUGUAAAGCACUUUUGUCCGGAAAGAAAUGGCUCUGGUUAAUACCUGGGGUCGAUGACGGUACCGGAAGAAUAAGGACCGGCUAACUACGUGCCAGCCGCCGCGGUAA
rnacentral:rRNA from 1 species